GAAUAGGAGUGAAGAAAAUCAGAAGGAGAAGGAUAGGAAUAAGAAGAAAUUAGCUUUUCUGUUGCCUAUAGGGUCAGAGCAGUCCAAACCAGAAAGCUUGCUAACUUCACUUAAGGCUCAGGAGUGAUGCAUCCCAACAAAGAGGACGUCAGGAGAAAAUGCCAGGAGACCUGCAUUGACGAACAAGGAGCUUCUGGCAAAGUCAAAUAGAAAAUGGAGGCCUGCAGAGGGUGGGAGGAAGGACAGAUAGCCUGGGAAGAAUACAGAAAAAUAGUCUGGGCAGCCAGGGGUCAGGUUAGGUAAACUGAAGUCCUAUUAGAAUUAAAUUUGGCCAGGGACAUCAAGGGCAACAAGACAGGCUUUUAUAGGUAUAUCAGUGAUAAAAGGAAGACUGAAGAAACUGUGGACGCUCUCUGGAAAGAAACGGGAGACCUGAUCACUCAGGAUAUGGUGAAUUCUGAAGUAUGACAUUUUUUGCCUUGGUCUUCACCAGCAAGAUCUCACACAUGGCCCAGGCCCCAGAAACCAAGACAAAGACUGGGAGAAUGGUGAACCACCGACUGCAGAAGAACAGGUUUGAGACCAUCUAAUGAACCUGAAGGUGCACAGGUCCAAUGGACCUGAUUAGGUGCCUCUGUGGGUCCUGAGGAACUGGUGGAUGUAGUUGCUAGACCACUGUUCAUGAUAUUCAAGAAGUCAUGGCAGUCUUGUGAAGUUCCACUGACUAGAAGAGGGGAAACAGAAUCCCCAUUUUUAAAAAGGGAAAAAGGGAAGCCAUGAGGACUAUAGGACACUGGAUCCACUCCUAGUGCUCAUCUUUUUUCUUUCUAAGGCUUAAUAGUAUGAAACAGGUAAUUCAUUUCAUGAGUUAUCACUGCUAAUCAGGCAUGUUGCUCUUGUCCCUAGAGGCUGCAGAUGGAAAAGACAUGCCCUCUUUCCUUGGAGCUAGUGAGUACUGUCUGUGAAAGUGAAAAUAAAAACACACUUUUGCCUUAGAGACACAAAACCUUGUUUGCUUUUUCUUAUUGAAUAUUAAGUGGUUAUAAAGUUUGUGAAAGUCACUUAACAAUAAUGUAUGAAGUGCUUUAUAGAAUUAUUCUGGUAUGUAAAAAUAAGAAGAGUAAACAGUUAUUAUAAUAGUAUAAUGCUUAGAAACAAUUGUUCAUACUGAAAAUAUGUACUUUCAAUACCCAAGUAUUUGACUGAGCAGCCCUGUUAUGUGAGGUGGGUAGAAAACACUUUCCUCAGGGAAUCUUAAACCUAAAGUUACAUUAGCAACCUCACAGCUUACAAUCACUCCUCCUUUCUCUCCAAAGAAACCCGUGUCAUGGCAUGGCUGGCAUCCUCAGUCCAUCCGUUCUGCCUUAGGAAGCAAACACUGAGCAUCCUGGUUCAGACUGCAUGUUAAGGAGUUUAGCUACCCAAGCUGCCAGUGACAGUGUUAGUAAUAAACCCAGGUAAGAUUAAUGACAGAAGGUUGGGAAAUUUUCCUGUGAAACUGAACCACUUAGGUAGUACUAAUCAUUGUAAUUCAUUACAGGACAGUUCUAGCAGCACAACAAACACUGUUGCCAAGCUUGUUAAUUCCCUGAGCUUGUUUACCCACUUACUUAAGAAAAUUGCAUUCAUAGUGCUGUUUAUUGAUGUUCCUCUUUAUCAUUUUCUACGGUUUGUUUUGAUUUUCACAUGUUGUUCUCUAGAGCAAGUGGAUAUUUCACCUCUUUGCAACUCUUGACACAGCAAAGGCUGCUAAGGUGAUGGAGUGAAAAAUUGUAUAAAUGUGAAAAGAACUCUUCUGUCUUGCAAACAAAGGAGCAAUGUUGCUAAGGCUGGAAAUACCUUUUCAACCAUUGAGCAGAGGCAAACAUGCUUUUUGUAAGAUGCAAAGACAUAGCUUUAAUUUU